CUGUUAAAGAAGCAAAAACUCUUCUAAUAUCAGUCAAUAGUUAUUAGUUAUUGAUGACAUUUGGUAAUAUAUCGAUAUCUCUGUGUUCUCUUAUGUCUGUGUCGUCAACAUUUGAACAUUUUUGAGCGGUCCGCUCUUUCUGACUGUAAACAAAGCCGUUCUCCACCUCCUCUAACCUGAUUGGUUGUGAGGCAGACGCUGCUCCCCCGUGUCGUUCAGGAGCCCAAACAAAGUUAGCGUGCUACAAUAUCGGACAGUAGAAACCAACCAGAAAGUUCGGAAAAUUGUCUGAAUCCUCCUUUGGCCACGACUGCCGACACAAGCAAGAAAACACUCAAACAUAAACAGUCAGCAAGAAAACAGUCAGCAAGAAAACUGUCAACAGGAAAACAGUCAGCAAGAAAACAGUCAACAAGAAAACAGUUAACCAUAAUGAAUCAACAAGAAAACAGUCAACCCCAAAACAGUCAACCAAAAACAGUCAACAAGAAAAUAGUCAACAAGAAAACAGUCAACCAUAAUCAGUCAGCAAGAAAACAGUCAACACCAAAACAGUCAACCAAAAACAGUCAACAAGAAAACAGUCAACAUCAAAACAGUCAACAUCAAAACAGUCAACAUCACAACAGUCAACAAGAAAACAGUCAACAUCAAAGCAGUCAACACCAAAACAGUCAACAAGAAAACAGUCAACAUCAAAGCAGUCAGCAAGCAAACAGUCAACACCAAAACAGUCAACAAGAAAACAGUCAACCCCAAAACAGUCAACCAAAAACAGUCAACCCCAAAACAGUCAACCAAAAACAGUCAACAAGAAAACAGUCAACAAGAAAACAGUCAACAUCAAAACAGUCAACACCAAAACAGUCAACACCAAAACAGUCAACCACAAAGCAGUCAGCAAGCAAACAGUCAACACCAAAACAGUCAACAAGAAAACAGUCAACCAUAAUGAAUCAACAAGAAAAUAGUCAACCCCAAAACAGUCAACCAUAAUCAGUCAGCAAGAAAACAGUCAACAAGAAAACAGUUAACCAUAAUGAAUCAACAAGAAAACAGUCAACCCCAAAACAGUCAACCAAAAACAGUCAACAAGAAAAUAGUCAACAAGAAAACAGUCAACCAUAAUCAGUCAGCAAGAAAACAGUCAACAAGAAAACAGUCAACAAGAAAACAGCCAGCAAGAAAACAGUCAACAAGAAAACAGUCAACAUCAAAACAGUCAACAAGAAAACAGUCAACAUCAAAGCAGUCAACAAGAAAACAGUCAACAAGAAAACAGUCAACCAUAAUCAGUCAACAAGAAAACAGUCAACAAGAAAACAGCCAGCAAGAAAACAGUCAACAUCAAAACAGUCAACACCAAAACAGUCAACCAUAAA